rnacentral:rRNA from 1 species
AUUGAACGCUGGCGGCAGGCUUAACACGUGCAAGUCGAGCGGAGAUGAGGUGCUAGCACCUUAUCUUAGCGGCGGACGGGUGAGUAAUGCUUAGGAAUCUGCCUAUUAGUGGGGGACAACAUUCCGAAAGGAAUGCUAAUACCGCAUACGUCCUACGGGAGAAAGCAGGGGAUCUUCGGACCUUGCGCUAAUAGAUGAGCCUAAGUCGGAUUAGCUAGUUGGUGGGGUAAAGGCCUACCAAGGCGACGAUCUGUAGCGGGUCUGAGAGGAUGGUCCGCCACACUGGGACUGAGACACGGCCCAGACUCCUACGGGAGGCAGCAGUGGGGAAUGUUGGACAAUGGGGGGAACCCUGAUCCAGCCAUGCCGCGUGUGUGAAGAAGGCCUUAUGGUUGUAAAGCACUUUAAGCGAGGAGGAGGCUACUGAGACUAAUACUCUUGGAUAGUGGACGUUACUCGCAGAAUAAGCACCGGCUAACUCUGUGCCAGCCGCCGCGGUAAAAC